rnacentral:rRNA from 1 species
GACGAACGCUGGCGGCGUGCUUAACACAUGCAAGUCGAACGGAAAGGCCCUGCUUUUGUGGGGUGCUCGAGUGGCGAACGGGUGAGUAACACGUGAGUAACCUGCCCUUGACUUUGGGAUAACUUCAGGAAACUGGGGCUAAUACCGGAUAGGAGCUCCUGCUGCAUGGUGGGGGUUGGAAAGUUUCGGCGGUUGGGGAUGGACUCGCGGCUUAUCAGCUUGUUGGUGGGGUAGUGACUUACCAAGGCUUUGACGGGUAGCCGGCCUGAGAGGGUGACCGGCCACAUUGGGACUGAGAUACGGCCCAGACUCCUACGGGAGGCAGCAGUGGGGAAUAUUGCACAAUGGGCGGAAGCCUGAUGCAGCAACGCCGCGUGCGGGAUGACGGCCUUCGGGUUGUCAACCGCUUUCGCCUGUGACGAAGCGUGAGUGACGGUAAUGGGUAAAGAAGCACCGGCUAACUACGUG